UCCGGAAUCAUUGGGCGUAAAGAGCGCGUAGGCGGCCUCGGUAAGUCCGCUGUAAAAGUCAAAGGCUCAACCUUUGAAUGCCGGUGGAUACUGUCGGGCUAGAGUCCGGAAGAGGCGAGUGGAAUUCCUGGUGUAGCGGUGGAAUGCGCAGAUAUCAGGAGGAACACCGGUGGCGAAGGCGACUUCCUGGCCUGUUCUUGACGCUGAGGCGCGAAAGCUAGGGUAGCAAACGGG
rnacentral:rRNA from 1 species